rnacentral:rRNA from 1 species
UACGGAGGGUGCAAGCGUUAUCCGGAUUCACUGGGUUUAAAGAGCGUGUAGGCGGCCUGAAAGGUCAGCUGUGAAAACUCGAGGCUCAACCUCGAGACGUCGGUUGAAACCAUCUGGCUAGAGUCCGGAAGAGGAGUGUGGAAUUCCCGGUGUAGCGGUGAAAUGCGCAGAUAUCGGGAAGAACACCCGUGGCGAAGGCGGCACUCUGGGACGGUACUGACGCUGAGACGCGAAAGCGUGGGGAGCGAACAGG